GAUAACUGGCUAGUGGCAGCCAAGCGUCCAUAGCGACGUUGCUUUUUGAUUCUUCGAUGUCGGCUCUUCCUAUCAUUGCGAAGUAGAACUCGCCGCGAAAUCGUGGCCUAUUGAUCCUUUAGUUCUUUUGGUUUCUACGAUGGAUGCAGCCUCCACAGAUGUCCCGUUGAUUAAACCCGCGAAGAUUGAUUUUGUCGCGUAGUUGGCGUAUAACGACUUUGACAGGGACAAGGAAAUAGAGGAAUCAGUGACGAAUGCG
rnacentral:ncRNA from 1 species